GAUGAACGCUGGCGGCGUGCCUAAUACAUGCCAGUCGAGCGAACAGAUGAGGAGCUUGCUCCUCUGACGUUAGCGGCGGACGGGUGAGUAACACGUGGAUAACCUACCUAUAAGACUGGGAUAACUUCGGGAAACCGGAGCUAAUACCGGAUAAUAUAUUGAACCGCAUGGUUCAAUAGUGAAAGACGGUUUUGCUGUCACUUAUAGAUGGAUCCGCGCCGCAUUAGCUAGUUGGUAAGGUAACGGCUUACCAAGGCAACGAUGCGUAGCCGACCUGAGAGGGUGAUCGGCCACACUGGAACUGAGACACGGUCCAGACUCCUACGGGAGGCAGCAGUAGGGAAUCUUCCGCAAUGGGCGAAAGCCUGACGGAGCAACGCCGCGUGAGUGAUGAAGGUCUUCGGAUCGUAAAACUCUGUUAUUAGGGAAGAACAAAUGUGUGAGUAACUAUGCACGUCUUGACGGUACCUAAUCAGAAAGCCACGGCUAACUACGUG
rnacentral:rRNA from 1 species